rnacentral:rRNA from 1 species
AGAGAGAGACAUGCGCGCAUAUCAAUAAGCGGAGGAAAAGAAACUAACAAGGAUUCCCCUAGUAACGGCGAGUGAAGCGGGAAGAGCUCAAAUUUGAAAUCUUAAAGGGUUUCCCUUUACGAAUUGUAGUUUAAAGAAGUGUUUUCUGUUGAGGUUUUGGUAAAAGUUCUUUGGAAUAGGACAUCAUAGAGGGUGAGAAUCCCGUAUUUGACCUUUACUUUCAACUUUGUGAUACACUUUCAAAGAGUCGGAUUGUUUGGGAAUGCAGUCCAAAAUGGGUGGUAAAUUUCAUCUAAAGCUAAAUAUUGGCGAGAGACCGAUAGCGAACAAGUACCGUGAGGGAAAGAUGAAAAGAACUUUGAAAAGAGAGUUAAACAGUACGUGAAAUUGUCAAAAGGGAAGCGUUUGACACCAGUGUUGUUUUUCUGAAAAUCAAUUAAAGAACUGUUUAUGCUAAGCUGUUUAGACUUUAUCAGCUAUCUGUUUAGUUUUGAGCUUUUCUUUAAUGCACUUUUCAGUUAACAAGUCAACAUCAAUUUCUUUUGCUGUAAAAAAGCUUGAGGAAGGUGGCUUGAGAUUCGUCUUAAGUGUUUAUAGCCUCUUGCCUAUGCAGUCGGAGAGAUUGAGGUCUGCAGCGUAGAUCCUUCGGGGCUAAAUGCAUUUGUGCUAAGUUAUAGCAUUUUAUAGACGACUUGUUGACUAUGAUUUGUCUUGUAGCUUACUCGCUUAUGUUAUUUUACCUACGCUUAGGAUGUUGACGCAUGAGAUAUACGC